AGCGUCAUCCUUGAGGUCGUGCGUUCGAAUCAUGGCUGCGCACGGGUGGAAUUUUCUUUCUAUGUGCGCAAUUAUCAUUUGCUCCUACGGUGAAGGCGAAAAUCGUGAGGAAACCGGCAUGUUACAUACCCAAAUAUCGGUGGUACGUGUCAAACACAGAAGGCUCUAUCUAGGUGAUCAGCCUUCUGUAAAUUCCUUGAUAAAAAUGAAAUCAUAGGAUGUUUGAGGCAAACCCCAUAUAGGGUUGUAGCGCUUUUUAUUAGGCACUUUUUAAGUAGGUAUUUGAUUUCUCAAAAAUAUUUAGAUGAUAGAAUACCUAAUGUAAACACAUAGAACAUGUAGCAUCACUAAAGAGUCUUCAGAUACGAAAAUUGUUUUUUAGCCAUAUGAAUAGGUACGCUAAUUGCCUAUUAUGAAUAAUUUAACAUGUUAAAAAUAUAUCAUAAAAUUUCUCUCACAAUACAAUAAUCAUAUUUCGCCUGGCUUCUUGUUUACGAUUUUUUCAUUACUCCCACUUUACGAUCUCAUGGUAGAUCUAACUGUACUUUAAGAAAAUCGCGUGUUCGGAGAUGAUAAAAUGAAUUUUAUUCUUUUGUCUGGAUUUGUUACAAGAUGCUACAUCGAUUUAUCUCAAAAUUAUCUCCUGACGAAAUUCUUAGUACACCUAUAAUAAAAAAGCUUAGAACGAAGCUUAAUUUUUAACGGACUUAAAAUUACUAUUUGACGUAAAAUGCAAUUCUACACCGUAUUGAGCUGGAAAUGAUUUUAUAAAGAAGGCUGUAUUUCCUUAGUUCUGGAGAUAAAUGUUUAAAGCUCUGGAACUCGAAAAGUUUUUAGUCUUUUUAGUGCAUUCUGAUUACUCUAUUUUAAUUUUUUUUAUCAGUAAAAUGUUUUACAACGUUACAUUGCUGUAAAAAUAUGAGAAAUGUCAUAGCUAUCAACGAAUACGAUAUAAAUUUUAGUACAAACCUGAAUUUUUAUAUCAUACUAGCUGACCCGACGAACUGUUAGCUGACCUAAAUUUAUAAUUUUAUACUGUCAUAAAUAUACAAUGAAUACAAAACAAAUAUUAAGUUCACUACUUUAUUAAUAAAUUAUCACAAAACGCUAAUUUUGUUUGUCGGAAAUAUUUGACGACCUAUAUUUAUGUCAAAAUAUAUUAUUUAAGUAUUCGGUAAUCGGCCGAAUAUAAUAAAGGCAGCCGAAUAGGCCAAUUACCGAAUAGUAACCGAAUAUUCGUUGCAAGUCUAAUUUGAAGAACAGUGCACCGUAACGACGUGGAAGAAUUUCAAAUGUUUGAGAGUGACGAAAUCAAUAUUUUUUUUCUUUUAUUUAUUUCUAUUAAAUAUUCCGCUAUUUGGAACGGAGACAAACAAAUCAAAAACAAUGAAAAUUAGUCCAGACGUUCUCGAGUUACAAGUGUUCGAACAAACCCUGCUUUGUUUUAUAUAUCAAAAUGUGUCCUGUGCACAUCUUUGUCUUGUAAAAACCAAGUCAAAUAAAACUACAAAGUGGUACAAUGCUUGUUUGAUAUCGUAAUCAUUAAGCAAUAAGCAACGCGUAUUACAUAUUUAUCUCGGUUUUAUAAAAAUAGCACUGCAAAUGGUAAUAAAUAUUGAUAUCACGCAAGUGUAUGACUAACAAAUGUAGCGUCUUGUGUCAGUGAGAUAUUUUAAAUUAAAUCCGCUUUUAAAUCUUGUCGCAUUACGUCGUCUGUAAAUUGGAAACACCUCGAAUUGCCGCGAAUAAGUUUGUUUCACUUGUGUCGAGGGGAUGUUUUAUUCAUCCAUAUGUUAAAAUAAUAUUCCUUUUUUUACUUUCUUUUUCUCGACUAUACAUUCUGUAUGAGUGUCAGCUGUGUUUUAAUCCAAUAAUGUUGCUUAUUUUCAGCAUCAAAAAAGAAUUCCAUCGUACUUACACUAGACUAAACAGCCAGAAGUUGAAACAGCAUAUUAGCUUGAAUACAUGCCAAGAGCAGUUUGGGUGUCGUCCAGAAUUUUGCCGUAUAAGCCCUGAUCCUGCAUAAACACCUGGAUCUUGAUUGGGUAGAGACUCUUGGAAUAUGGGGUUAAAUUGCACAGGCGCUGAUUAAAGAUUCAAGUUUGCGUCUGGUUAAUAGUACCAGCGACUCCAGAGCUGUUGCGUUCCUCGCUUAACGAAUAAGUAUCGCAUAACAGCAAGGAGUUGCUGCCAGCAUUAAAAGCCACAGGGACCAAACUUUUUAAAUUUAUUUUAGUUAUCUAUUUUCAAGUAUUAUUAUUAUUACUUUUGGUUAAGAAUAUUGUAAAUACUAAAUUAAUUAUUAUAAUAUAAAUAAUAACAAUAUCCCUUGGACCAUAUACACAACUAAAGAUAUAGAGCAUUCUUAAAUACGCAAUACAUAUUGUCUAAUAUUACUAGAUUUAUUUUUAAUUUCUGUCGAAUAGCUAGUCUAUUUAUAUUUCACGUUCAUUCCUAUA